rnacentral:rRNA from 1 species
AUUGAACGCUGGCGGCAGGCCUAACACAUGCAAGUCGAAUGGUAACAGGAAACAGCUUGCUGUUUCGCUGACGAGUGGCGGACGGGUGAGUAAUGUCUGGGAAACUGCCUGAUGGAGGGUGAUAACUACUGGAAACGGUAGCUAAUACCUCAUAACGUCUCAAGACCAAAGAGGGGGACCUUCGUGCCUCUUGCCAUCAGAUGUGCCCAGAUGGGAUUAGCUAGUAGGUGGGGUAACGGCUCACCUAGGCGACGAUCCCUAGCUGGUCUGAGAGGAUGACAAGCCACACUGGAACUGAGACACGGUCAAGACUCCUACGGGAGGCAGCAGUGGGGAAUAUUGCACAAUGGGCGCAAGCAUGAUGCAGCCAUGCCGCGUGUAUGAAGAAGGCCUUCGGGUUGUAAAGUACUUUCAGCGGGGAGGAAGGGAGUAAAGUUAAUACCUUUGCUCAUUGACGUUACCCGCAGAAGAAGCACCGGCUAACUCCGUG